rnacentral:snoRNA from 1 species
GUUUAUGAUGAUUUUCUUUUAUCACGACGGUCAACUGUAUUUCCUUAUCGUUUAUUUGGAAAUGUUGAUGAUUUUGCCUGUGACAGGGCCUCUUACUGAUA